AACGCUCCGGCUUGAAGCUCAGCGGAUCAUCCCAGAUAUUUGAGUCUCGUGCAAUAGCCCACAUGUUUACCAAAAUUUGGGUGUCUUUUGGAAUUUUGUAGCCCAUAACUUCACAUGUUUGAACAGCACGGUGAGGUAAGAGCAGUGGGCCUAGAGGAUGCAAUCGAAGAGUUUCUUUAACACAAGCUUCAAGGUAGGGUAAAUUUGGUAAGUAGGAUUCUCUUACAGUGUCGACACCAAUUACUUUUUCAAGUUCAUCGCGAAGUUUAUUCAUGGCUUGUUGAUUUUUUAGUAAUUCUACCAUUAGCCACUCGGAUGUUGCGGUUGUGGUUUCUAUACCAGCACCAAAUAACUCCUAAAAAAUAAAUGGAGGGAACAAAAUUAAGUCAAUAAAAGCUCAUGACCAUAUAACUCUCUCCAUCCUUAAAAGUAUCUUCAAGUAACAUAUUGUGUCAUAUAAAAUAAGAGUAAAUACUAGUUUAUUCAGAAAAAUAUAUUCAAAUGGAGUUUACUAAAAUAAAAAAUGACAAAUGUAUUAGUGUACUCAUAUUUUGUCCCACUCUUGGUAAAAAAUGACACUUAUUUUACUCUACUUUAGUUUUAUUAAUUUAUAAAACUUCUACUUUAAACUAUUUUUUUUAAGAAUAGAGACAUCUAUAAUUUAUUUAUAUAAUAAUAUAGAUCAACUAGAUUUAACUGAACAACAGUACUAUUUGCUCCAAAGUAGAUGCCAUAAUCUAAAAAUACAUACCUCAAUAAGGGGGUUGAUCUGAUCAUCAGUAAAACCCUUUCCAAUCAAAGCAUCCAUAAAAUCUUUAUGAUUUUGAUCAAUUUUUCCUUCCUUUCUUUCCUUUACAAUACUUCCCCAACAAGCACACGUUUUCUCAUAUAAAUCCGACAACAUCAACUUGUUGUACAUACCUUUAACAUCAAAACCACCUAAUAGUGGAUACAAAUCUGCUAAUUGUGGAGUAGAAACUACCUCCCCAAAUCUCCUAAUAUAUCCCCUCAUUUCUUUACCCAAUCCCACACCUUCAAAAUCUCCAAAAUCCACAGAAAAAAGCAUGUUGCUAAUUAUGUUCAUUACAGUAACAAAUACUAUCUCUUUGAUCUGCAAAAUCUCCCCUUGUUUAGAACCCAAAUAGGAAACCAUUUCCAUAGCUUUCUUUUCUCUUAUUUUCACUUGGGACUCUAUUGCUUUGGUUGAGAAAAGCUCACUCCUAUAAAUGCCUCGUAUGUUUUUCCAAGCAUCGCCACACUCUUCGGAAAGCCCUGAUGAUAAAUUAUGAAGCUUUGAGCCUCGUUGCCGACUAGCCACGCACCGACCUUGUAUAGAAAAAAAGAAGAAGAAGAAGAAGAAGAAGGUAAUAUAUCAAUGGUAUAUAUAAUAUUCCUCCAUGAUUACGAAAGAUAAUUGUGUUUAUAUACCAGACAACUUAAUUAAUGAUCAAGCCAAGACCAAAUAUAAAAUACUACAUAUCAGAUCUAAAUAAUAUAUGGAUGGAUCGAUCCAUUCCAACGUACAGAGUAUAGGGCCAAAUAAUGAGUUAAUUUUUUUAAGUCAGUUUGAAAUAGGGAAAAACUUGUAAAUAUCACUUUUAUCAUUAUACGAAUACCAAAUUUUAUACUCCCUCUUUGCUUCACUUUUAAUACAAAGAAAUCUUAUUUCAACAAGAAAGUAUAGAUCUGUCCACAAAGUUUAGAUCGGGUGCUCUCAAAAUUAUUCAUGAUCUCAGCCCCUCGUCUUCCGAUCCUUACUAACAUACCUGAAAGUAUACGAUCAUGGACUUUGAGAAUUUCUUCAGCAGCUGCAGGUGAGGACCCGACGACGACGAGUUGUGCGCCGAGGCGCAGAGAUAUGAGUGGCCCAUGGAUUUUGGCAAGGUUGGCGAGGAGGAGAUGUGGAGGUUUUCCUCUCAUUUGGAAGAUGUUGCCUACUAGUGGCCAUGCAUAUGGGCCUGGUGGAAGUGGUAGUGUUUUGGCUUUCGAAGUAUGUUUGAAAAUGAUCAAAGAGAUGAGGGAUAGCACUAGUAUACCAAGGAACAAAGUAUUCAUAUCUCCUAAAUCUUUUGUUGUUAGAUUCAUGGUGAUAGUUUGGGUAGCUGAUAUGGCUAACGGACUGUGUUUAUUAGUAUACAGAAGGGGAAAGAUAAAUAGACAUUCUCUCUCUAAAUUAUUUGUGGCCAAGAUGGAAGGAAGUGGUUAUUUUGAAGUUUAUUUUUGAAUAAGUUGGUCAAUUGACUAAUAGAGUGCUGACACGAAGGUAAGACUCUAUGUGUGUCAGUAUUCUAUUAAUUAAUUGACCAACUUAUUCAACAAUAAAUUUCAUCUUCAUGCUAACCGGAUCCAAGAUAAACUUCAUGCUAACCACUUCAAUAUUUUUGUUACGGCAUGAUCUGUGUAUUUUUGUCUUAAUUGAUAGUGGUUGAGUUCAACUAGAUUAAUUAAUGUCAUCUGUUUAUGUCAUGUAUUGGGUCCACUGGAUUACUCUCAGCCGUCCAUAUUAUAUAUAGCUGUUGUUGAUAAAUAAAUUACUUUUUUCAAAUCAAGAAAAUGUUAAAUGUUUUUCUGUAAAUUAUUUUAUUGUUUGUGUUCAACUGAAAAAUGAAUUUUAUAUAACUACUCUCUCGUCAACGCUAGAACUUUUUCAUAAAUGAUGUUAUUCCCGACUCGCAAAGUAAAGCUCAAUCUCUAUUCAUUAGUUCAGCGCUAAGAUGUAGUACUAGAUCGUAUAUGGGUCAAGAGAUCUUCAAUCUGAAAUUCUCUUUUUUAUAUUGCAAUCCUUCUUAGUGAGAAAUUACUCUAAAGAUUAUGUAGGGGAAUACACUAUGAGGACUCAAUAAAUUUAAAAAAGGAUUUGAGACUUAGGAAAUUAAACUUCCAUUCAACCAUAGUUUUGAUGUGGAUGAGAAGGAGAACAUCUUUUUUAGAUAUCCCCACAAUUAGAGCUAUUAGAUGUGAAGAGACUUUGCGCCAUGGAACAUGCUCAGGUCUACCAGAAAUUUUUUGUCCAUUCCAAAAUCAGGUAAUAUAGAGAAAGUCAGGUUUGAAUGAUUGGUUUGUCUUGUCUAAGGCCAAAUGCACCUAGUGCUUUGUUUAGUUAAUUGUUUACCUGGAAACCAGCGUUGCACUCAUCAGCAAUGAUGUCCAACAGUUGCUCGAACUGGAUCUUAGAUGGUACUACUAAAACUUGUUCUCCGUUCAAUAUAAUGAUAGUAUGCACGGUCAAUCAAGUAAUAUAAAAGUUGUAAGACCCCAACUUUUAUGAAUAAAGAUGAAUUUUUCUAUAAAUAUCAUUUUGAAUAUUAAGGUGUGAAUUUGUUAUAAUUGUUGGUAAUAUUUAUAAAUUUUUACAAAGUAAGCAAGUUGUUAUAUAAUAUUCGAUUGGUCGGGGAAUAUUCGUACGACGACACAAUUAUUGGUGGACCUCACAACGUAAUUAUUGUCAGAAUGAGAAAGCGACAGAAAUAUCUUUUUAUGAAAAUAACGGCAAAAUUUUUUACCGUUAACUGUGUGAAAUACCCGGUGUUAAAAGAACAGUAAUACGCGUGGUUGCAUAGUAGCACACGGUAUUGAUUAUUGAUGCUUACGUGAGAAGUCAUUCAGCUUUACUCAAUUAUUGCUAGAGUAAUUGCUGCAUAGUAUCUCACGUUAUUUGAUUCAAUUAUUGUCAAUAUUUUAUAUAUUAUUAAGUCAAUAAUUGAGACGAUACAGUUAUUAACAUUAUUAUUUGCAAUAUUGACGAUGUCUAAAAAGUUCUGUCAAUGAGAGGUUUUGUAUGACCCCAACUUUUUAUAAAUGAAAUUGAGUUUCCUCGAUUUAUUAUUUUGAAAUAAUAAGGGUUGAUUUGAUUAAUGUUGUUAGUUAUGGGUAAAAUGCGCAAAUAUCUUAAAUAAGUAAGUGGUUAUAAAAUAUUCAUUGUUGUCGGAGAAUAUUCGUUUGGUCGUGGAAUAUUCUUACUAUCGGAGAAUAUUCGUACGAUGGCGCAGCCUUGUGUGGGCCCCAUAACGGAAAGCGAUUUGAUGAAAAAAAAUGACAAGUAUAAGUUUUUUUUUUAUAAAUAACGGCUUAGUUGUUACCGUUAACACUGUUGGAAUACCCGGUGGUUUAAACACAGUGGCACACGGUAUUGCACCAAUUAUUGAUUCUUACGUAAGAAGGCUCUACUCAAUAAUUGUUACAGUAAUUAUUGUUCAAUAUUUUAUUUUAUUGACUCAAUAAUUGCUACGUUGAUAUUUUAUAUUAUUGUUGUUUCAAUAAUUGUCACUACACAGUAUUUCCCAUUAUCAUAUCAAUAAUCCAUAUUAUUUGAAUAAUAUUAUUAGAUAGCACUAUUGGCAAUGUUUAAAAAGUUCUGUCGAGAAAAGGAGCUAGGUCAUCUAAUUACGCGCCACUAAGGAGAGUUCCUUAUCAGAAAGCCCCCUCUUUCCUGAGAACGGUCUGGUUGUCAUUAUUGUGAUUCUGUAAUAUUAUUUGUGAAUAAUUAAUUAUUGAUUUAUAUGAUAAGAAAAAUAUUUAUUUAUGUGGAUAUAAAUGGAGGAAUUUUUAGACAAUUGUUAAAAAUUGAUAUUUUAUCUUUUCUGAUUAAAUAAUUCAUUUAAAUAUAUUAUUAUAUUUCAAUAAUAUAAUAAUAGUGAUAUUUUUACAAUGAAUGUGUGAUAUAUGAAUAAAUGAGGAGAAAUAAUAUUUUUGUUACAAUAAAUGCUAAGAACAUGUAAAACAUGUUGGUGGGCUCCAUUCUUGACUAAAAUUUGAUUAUAGCCUAUAAAAUCGACCGUAUGUGGAUUUCGGUCAAUUUCUGUUUAAAAUUUGGAAAAACUUAAAGCUACAAAGUUGUAGAGAAUUAAAUUUUCUAUGGAAUGGACAUAAGAUUCGAUUUUUUUUUAUAAAAGGGCUAUUUAUUAUGAAUUAUUGAAGUUUCAGAAUAAUUAAUUUUUAAAGUUUCAAAUAUUUUUUUAAAGAAAAACAUUUUUAUUAUGUUGGUGGGCCCCACUUGUAUUGAAAAUGUGCUGAGUUCAGAAUUCUAAGGUGGGCGUAGGAAAAUUUUAAUAAAUAUUAUUAUUUUAUUAAAUUUUCUACUUUGGUGUUCUAAGUAUUUUUCUAUAAAUAGGGUGCUUAGGUUAAAAUUGAAAAUCACACCAGAAACUAAAGUUUUCUCUCUCUAUAUUAUCGAGCGUAUUUUGUGAGUAUUUAGAUACAUUGAGUGUUGUUAUACGGUGCAAGUUCCCUUUAGCGUUAUAUCUGAUAUUCUAGCUAGAAGUACUAUUCUUUUGAGGUAAGAGAUGUUAUUUUCUUCGUAAAUGAUAUUAUUUCUUUCAAUAUCAUUAUGCCGAAAUAUUAGUAUAAUUUUUCUUUUGAAAUUUCUACCUUUUUGUGUCGGGGUUACUAUUCACAUAUAAGACACUAUUCACAGAAAAAUUAAAUUUUUGUUCUUUAUCCAAGAUGUCUAUUAUGGGUGCUAUCUUUGAUUGUAUCCAUGUUUUGAUUUUCAUUCUUGAGUUUUACUCCACUAUGAUAUAUUAUGGGGUGUUUUUGAACAUGGAUAAACCGAAGUACGAAUCCCUAAUAUUUGUUCUUUUGUCUCACUGGAUUCGUUUUCUUUAAAAUAUUUUUCAUCAUCCUCAGUCCUAAAUGAUAAUAUAACUGAAUAUCUUUGGCCUGUAGUGCAAAGAUGAAUGAUUCUCUGAUGAAUAUCUUUGGCCCGUAGUGCAAAGAUGAACAUGUGUUGAGAUGAACAUGACCAACUGAUGAAUAUCUUUGGCCUGUAGAGCAAAGAUGAAUAUUUGAUUCAAGAUGUAUAUUGAUUGAUGUUACAGGGAUAAAAUAUUGAUGAUGGACUUUUAAAUUCAUAGAUGAUAGUAGAUUUCAUUCUCUACUUAACUCUUCUAAUGAAUUGUUGUUUCCGCUGCAGUUGUUGAUCUAAAACUUGUUGUCUAUUGUAUUCUAUCAGAUUUUUCCCUGUUGAAGACUAAGGAUAAUUUGUUGUACAUUAUCUUAGUCAUAAUAUUCUUUACUGGGCUAGUUGAGCUCACCCUUUUCCUUUUUGUUCCAUUUUUCUUCUCAGGAGACGAGAAUAUAGCGGGAACUAGUCGGGGUGUGGAGUAAUGGUUCAAGACAGUUGUUUUAGUAGUCCUCACUAUUUUGUAAAAUAGUGUAUCAAUAAUUGUAAUGAGGACUUAUUUGAGUGUGGAUAUUGUCUAGAAGACAAUAUUUGUAUUUAAACUCACAGUUUAUGUGAUGUCGUAUUUUGUACGACAAUUGUAUUAAUAAAGUUUUAGUUGUUUUUGUACCAUGUAUUUGACGACUCAGAAUGAGUGAUGUAUACCUAUUUUGGGGGCAUCACAGUUGGUAUCAAAACUUAGGGAUAUAGUCCCUAGCGGAGAUCGGGGAAUAGAACUAGGAGGGGAGAGACGAGUAAAUCCUUCGCUAGUGUGUCCUACCUAAGCUUAUUUGUUGGUCGGUCAGAAUAUAGAGAUAUUAUAUGAUAUGUUAAUUUCUUUAAUUAACCCUUGUUUUAUGGCAGUAUUUGAGAAUGACAACUGAGAAUGUUAACAAUGGAGUAAAUGAGACCGUUGAGACAUCUUUACUUACCAAUCAAGAGAACGUGCAACAGAACGACAAUGUUCCUCAUGUAAACAACACCACUGAUCAGACAAUGAACGAUGGGAUGUUUAGAAGCUUUUUGCAGUUUAUACAAAAUCAGACGAGGGAGACUCGUGUACAAAAUACAGGUGGAAAUGAUAGCAACGCAUAGUUUGUCACAUCCAAGAAGUUCAAAGAGUUGGGACUACCAGAAUUCUGGGGAAAGCCGGAUCCGAUUAAGGCAGAAACGUGGGUCAAGCAAAUUAUCAAGAUAUUCAAUGUCUUGGGAUGCACAAAGAGGUUCCUGUUAAAAUCUUUGAUAAGAAGGAACAUAUUUUACGCUCCAAGGUUAUACCUCAAGUCAAAGUUUUGUGGAGAAACCACGAUGUUGAGGAAAUGACCUGGGAGUUAGAAUUUGAAAUGAAAUCAAGGUAUCCUCACCUCUUCGACAUACCAGGUACGUACCCUAAUUUCAAGAGCGAAAUUUCAUAAGAAGGGGAGGUUAUAAGACCCCGACUUUUAUGAAUAAAGAUGAAUUUUCAAUAAAUAUCAUUUUUGAAUAUUAUGGAGUGAAUUUGAUAUAAUGUUAUAGUUGUGGGUAAUAUUUAUAAAUUUUGCAAAGUAUGCAAGUUGUUAUAUAAUAUUUGAUUGGUCGGGGAAUAUUCGUUUUAACAGGGAAUAUCCGUACGACGACACAAUCAUUGGUGGACCCCACAACAGAAUUAUUGUUGAAUUGAGAAAAUGACAAAAAUAUAUUUUUAUGAAAAUAACGGUGGAAGUUUUACCGUUAAUUGUUGAACUAUCCGGUAGUAAAAGUACAGUAAUACGCUUGAUUGCAUAGUAGCACACGGUAUUAAUUAUUGAUGCUUACGUAAGAAGUCACUCAGUUUUGUUCAAUUAUUGCUACAGUAAUUGCUGCAUAGUAUCUCGCAUUAUUUGAUUCAAUUAUUGUCGAUAUUUUAUAUAUUAUUAAAUCAAUAAUUGAGACGACAAAGUUAUUAAUAUUAUUAUUUGCAAUAUUAACGAUGUCUAGAUGUUCUGUCAAUGAGAGGUUUGGUCACCUAAUUGCGCGCCAAUAGGGAGAAAUCCUUAUUGGAAAGCCCCCUCUUUACUGGGAAUGACUUGGUCGUUAAAUAUUGCGAAUUACAAUAAUGAUGAUAAAUGUUGUUAAAAAUAUUGAAAGGAUUUUUAUGAAGUAUUUGAUGUAAAUUUUGGACCCCCAUUUACCCAUUUUUCUAAAUAAUCGGUAGAAAAUUAUUCAGUAUAUAUAUAUAAGUAUUAUAUAUAUAUAUAUAUAUAUAUAAUUAUGGUGGGGCCUACAUUUCUGAAAAGGACAUAUGGGUGGAUAAAAUUUGGAAGUCACGGAUGUUGGCUAUAUUAGUAUAAUUAUUAUUAUUAUAUAUAUAUAUAUAUAUAUAUAUAUAUAUAUUAUAAGUUUUGUUUUUUUAUAAAAAAUAGAAUAUAUUAUAUUUUAUUAUGCAUAGUAUUUGUAUAGUGCAUGCAUAGUAACAAAUCUCGUGAAUUUAAGAAAAUUCGGCUGAAAAUUUCGUACGUUACUAUUACGUCUGUGAUUUUUAUUCAAAUAGUACCCCUUCCAUUCUCCUAUAAAUAGGAUGCUUAGUUAGAAUUGAAAAUCACACCAGAAUCAGAGAAUUCUUCUUCUAUAAUAUUGAGCGUAUUUUUUUCGAGUUUUAGAAAGCUUUGAGUGUAGAAAAUAGUGAAGGUUUUCUUUAAGAAUAUCCUCGCUAUACCAGUUGGAAUACUCUUCUAUUCAAGGUAAGGGAUGUUAUUUUUGUUCAAUAUUCGCUUGAAAUAAUAUUUCCUUCCAUACUCUAUAGUAUGUAAGUAAUAUUAUUUCAUUUCAGAUUUCGAAUUCUAUACUCGUUUUGUUAAAGUUUUGGCUUCUAUACUCCAUGAAAUUAGUAGAAUAUCCUUCAUAUUUGAGCUUCAUCCAAUAUCUUUUCAUGAAAAUAUUAUUCUGAGCAUUCUUGAUAAGUUUUAACUUUUUCAUGUCAUAGUACUAUUCAUGGGGUUACUAUUCACUUGAGUACUAUUCACCCGGGGUACUAUUCAUGAUAGAAAUUGAUUCAUUUUCGGUCCAAAUUAUUUUUGGUACAAUAUUAUUCUUGAAUUUUACUCUACAAAGCAGUAUCAUGUUGACAAUUUGGACGUUAUUGAUUUCUGGAUAAAUUAAAUUAUAAAUCUUUAAAAUUUAUCCUUGAACUUGUUUUAUUGAAUUCUUAUAUCAUUGUCAUCAUCCUCAUGUUUAUAUUAUGUUGAAAGUCAUCUGUGGCCUGUAGCGCAUAGAUGGACUUGGUAUGAUUAUGACCAGAGAUUAUUCGGUAUAAUCAUGACCGUAAUGUUACAAAUGAUGUGGUAAAAUUCCUCAUUGGCCCGUAGUGCAUUGAUGGACAGUUGUUGGCAUGAUCAUGACCAUUGAUGAAAACACAAAUAUCCUUGGCCCGUAGUGCAUGGAUAAUUUGUGGUCGUGAUACUAAUGAAUAUCCUUGGUUGUAGUGCAGGGAUGAUGUGGAUUAUUUAUUAAGCCGAGUCUCAACGAUAAAAGUGAUGAAAAACCUUUUAAAUCAUCAAAGAUAAUAGAUUUUAUUCUCUACUUGACUCUUCUAAUGGAUUGCUUGUUCCGCUGCAGUUAAACUUGAUGUUUGUUAUAUUUUAUCAGUUUAACACUGUUGAAGGCUAACGAUAAAUUAUUCUGCAUUAACUUAGUCAUAAUAUUUUUUACUGGGCUAGUUGAGCUCACCCUUUUGCUUUCAUUAUUCUCUUCAGGAAAUGAGAACGUAGCCGGG
rnacentral:lncRNA from 1 species